UUUUUUCUUUUUUUGCUUCAUUGGAUUUAAAACUGACUGCUUCUUAAAGGAAAAACAACUGUGAGUCAUCCUCCAGAGGUCAGCGGAGGGAGACCCUGUUUACUGAGCUUUUGUGGCCACCGAGGCUUCCCGAUCACGGGUUCCACUCCCGUCCGUGUAGUUCAGUAGUCUGCACCGUACGACCAGAGGGCAGCUGCAUCAAGACUUGCAUCAGGCCAGCCAUGCUAAAAGAUCUUGUGAGAGGAGUGAAGAGACACAAGUGGGGGACAAUGAGCUAUGUUCCCCCAUGUUCUCUGGAUCCUAUGUUCCCAAGCCGUGUGAUUCUACUAAUCUUAUAAG